rnacentral:rRNA from 1 species
UACGUAGGGUGCAAGCGUUGUCCGGAAUUAUUGGGCGUAAAGAGCUCGUAGGCGGUUCCGUGAGUCGGCUGUGAAAUCUCCACGCUCAACGUGGAGGGGUCAGUCGAUACUGCGGUGACUCGAGUCCGGUAGGGGAGUGUGGAAUUCCCGGUGUAGCGGUGAAAUGCGCAGAGAUCGGGAGGAACACCCGUAGCGAAGGCGGCACUCUGGGCCGGUACUGACGCUGAGGAGCGAAAGCGUGGGGAGCAAACAGG